rnacentral:lncRNA from 1 species
GUAAUAUAGCUUUGCUCUUUGGUGUGACUAUAAUCAAAUGGGUUAGAAUCUAGUCUUCUUUUGAGUCUUUAGUGGGGCAAACAUUGGUUCAUGCUAAUUGGUAGCAUAUGUAGGCAAUCAUUGGCAUAUAUUGUUACAAGCAUGUUUUUCAUGUGAUUUCUAUGCUAAUCUCCUUCUAGACCUUUGGUAGGAUGGAUCAUUGGCAUAUAUUCAUUGUCGUCAUAUUGUAGUUAGGAGCUAAUCUUUUCUGGGGCUUGCCAUGGGCCAAUCAGAAAAAUAAUCAUAA